AGGCAGAAUGACUUUCUUUCAGAAGCGGACUGUAAUAAAUCACUAUUAUCUGUGCAUGUACUGGAAGUGGCUGUGGCAGAGAGGUUGGGCUGCUCGGGUAACCAUAGCACAGUUGAGAUUAUACCCCUGGAGUCCAGAGACCCUAGAGAGAACAGGCUGUGCUCUUAUUUGUGGAUAUUGCUGUUCCUAACCUCACCCGUGCUUGUAACUCAGACACAUAUCAGCUCAGGAAAAGGGCGCUGGUCUGUUUAAGAGAGCUGUUUUAUAGACCUGAAAGACACAAAAAGCAGAGAUUCAGUGAUAGUGGGAGCUUUCCACAUCAUGGAUGGAUGGAAAACCACAGGGAAGGCCAUCAUGCCACAGCUGGUGGUGAAGAUUGUUGGUGGGAAACAAAUUAAGUAUUUUACUGAUGGGACAAAAAGUCCCACAGAUCAUCUUGAGGUAACAAACUGCUCAGAGGACAGACACAGUCCACCUGUCAGAGUCACGGAUGGAGAUUUAAGCAGAAAAUCACCUUCUCAUGACCUGGAGCAUCUGAGACCAGUUGAGCACACAGCAAACCUGUUAGAUGCCAUCAGACAGGUUCCAGAAAGACGUUGUGUGACGGCGCCAUGUGGAGAUCGUUCACGGUCCUACAUACAUCUGAAGUCCUCAACCAACAUGGGUUACUCAAAACAAAUCAUGCAAAUUCCUCAUAUUACAGAGGAACAGGUAAGAUAUAAUGUGCAUGCUGUCUUUAAUCAACUUGAACUGUAAGUAUAUAUAACUAUACCACUGUUCAAAUGUUUGAGGUCGGAAAGUUUUUAUGUUUUUGUAA